GACGAACGCUGGCGGCGUGCCUAAUACAUGCAAGUCGAACGCUUCUUUCCUCCCGAGUGCUUGCACUCAAUUGGAAAGAGGAGUGGCGGACGGGUGAGUAACACGCGGGUAACCUACCCAUCAGAGGGGGAUAACACUUGGAAACAGGUGCUAAUACCGCAUAACAGUUUAUGCCGCAUGGCAUAAGAGUGAAAGGCGCUUUCGGGUGUCGCUGAUGGAUGGACCCGCGGUGCAUUAGCUAGUUGGUGAGGUAACGGCUCACCAAGGCCACGAUGCAUAGCCGACCUGUGAGGGUGAUCGGCCACGCUGGGACUGAGACACGGCCCAGACUCCUACGGGAGGCAGCAGUAGGGAAUCUUCGGCAAUGGACGAAAGUCUGACCGAGCAACGCCGCGUGAGUGAAGAAGGUUUUCGGAUCGUAAAACUCUGUUGUUAGAGAAGAACAAGGACGUUAGUAACUGAACGCCCCCUGACGGUAUCUAACCAGAAAGCCACGGCUAACUACGUG
rnacentral:rRNA from 1 species